rnacentral:antisense_RNA from 1 species
UGUGGGAGCGAGCCUGCUCGCGAUGGCGUCGUAUCUGCCGCAUCAAUGUUGACUGAGGCAUCGCUAUCGCGAGCAGGCUCGCUCCCACA